GCCGGAGUAGCUCAGCUGGCCAGAGCGACGCUCUUGUAAAGCGUGGGUCACGGGUUCGAAUCCCGUCUCCGGCU
rnacentral:tRNA from 1 species